ensembl:lncRNA
GUUUCCUUAGAGGCAUUGUCAUGUUCCCUGUCUGUCUGUCUGUCCGUCUGUCCGUCCGUCUGUCUGGACGUAUUUAACUAUACUUGUGGGUCCCCACAAGAAUAAUAAACAAACAUUUGACCAACUGGGGACACAUGGUCUAAUUCUAUUUCUAGGGGGUUUAGGGUUACGGUUAGAAUUAGAUUUAGGUUGAGGUUUAGAAUUAGAUUUAGGUUGAGGUUUAGGGUUAGGUUUAGAAUUAGAUUUAGGUUGAGGGUUAGGGUUAGGUUUAGAAUUAGAUUUAGGUUGAGGGUUAGGGUUAGGUUUAGAAUUAGAUUUAGGUUGAGGGUUAGGGUUAGAAUUAGAUUUAGAUUUAGGUUGAGGUUUAGGGUUAGGUUUAGAAUUAGAUUUAGGUUGAGGUUUAGGGUUACGGUUAGAAUUAGAUUUAGGUUGAGGUUUAGAAUUAGAUUUUGGUUGAGGUUUAGGGUUAGGUUUAGAAUUAGAUUUAGGUUGAGGGUUUUCGGGUUAAGGUUAGGAAAAAUAGUGUUGUGUGAUCAAUU